GGCCUGGUGGUCUAGUAGUAUGAUUCCUUGUUAGGGUUGAUCUAUAUUCGAGGAGGUCCCGGGUUCAAUUCCCGGCCAGGCCC